GACGAACCGAGCGAACGUUGUUCGGAAUAACUGGGCGUAAAGGGCGCGUAGGCGGCCUACUAAGUCGGACGUGAAAUCCCUCGGCUCAACCGAGGAACUGCGUCCGAUACUGGUGGGCUUGAAUCCGGGAGAGGGAUGUGGAAUUCCAAGGUGGUGAGCGGUGAAAUGCGUAGAGUAUACUGGAGGAACACCGGUGGCGAAGGCGGCAUCCUGGACCGGUAUUGA
rnacentral:rRNA from 1 species